ACCCGUAUAGAGUAAUAGCAACUCGUUGGAUUCCUAUAAUAGUAUAGGAACUAGCCAAGGAUCUCGGUGCAAAUCCGGGUGCGGGUA